GAGAAGAGAGACUAAGCCUGCUGUUAAUGAAUUGGACUGGACUCCUAAGAUAAUAUCCGGAACUGUUAAUGAAUUGGAUUCCUAAGAUAAUAUCCGGAACUCCAGGUUGAGUCAACAAUAAUUGUAAGUAGAGACUCUAGAUUCUAUAGACGGGCAUUCCUUUCGAUCUUGUAUCUAGAAGUUGAGGCUUGCAGCGCUCGCAAACACUAUCCCUUAGUAGAAAGCAUUGAAUGAAAGGUGGGAUGCCUUAGCUUUCAUGGAGAGGGUCGGGUCGUAGAAUCCCGGGGUUGAACUCCUACCUUAGAGUUACUGCACCGGGGGGCCUUAAAACCACCUUUUGGGGUAUUGGCGCAAUGACUGAAUUCUGCUAUUCUUUGUUACGAUAGCAGGGUUUGGUAUCCACUAGUUUCUAAGGGCCGCAUUUAGGAGUGAUUGAUCUGUUCAUCAAACUCUCAAUUGCAAAAAAGCAACAAAGUAGGAAGUCUGGUUCACAAGGUUAUACCACAGAAGGGCCCACUCAUAAGUUGCCUUUCCCCCAUUUCCAAAAGUGGUACAAGAGACAGGAUCAAAGGCUUUUCGAAAUUGGGAUUUGGUCUGUGUCAGUAGGUCUGAUGGAUGCGCCGUUUCGCGUCUAGUAGUGAUUUUGGUUGCUGAAGCCCCAGCCGAUCCUGUCGUGCCUUAAAGCUGGAAAGAAGAUGGAAAUUGAUGGUCCCCCCGGGUUAUGGAUCUGGCAAAAUAGGAAGUGCAAAAUCGCGAAACAAUGCUACAACUACAUCCUUCAUUCCUAUUGAAAGAGAAACUCAUCCAUGGAAACAGGUGAUUCAUGUUCAAGAGAGCUGCUUUGUAGGGAAAUAGACUAAUGUGACAUUGAAUCCUGUUACUUCUAUUUUCCUUCAUUGAGACCGAAACGGAGAAAUUCCAUAAAAAAGGAUGCAUUAGAAGGAGUGGUUUCUCUAUCCCCGCUAAUGCUUUCUAGUUCCCCCGGUUACCUCUACCAAAAUGGAUUCUAGCAAAGCGGUUAUUUACCCCAUUUGGAUGGAUUUGGAUGGAGAAAUACUCACUAUUGAACUGGGGCGAGCCCCUGCUACUUGUAAUCGAGGUUGAAUCUCUAUUCCCCCAAUAUGGAAAAAUGAAUAUUCUCGAAAUAUAAGAGUUUUCCUAAACUAAUUGCGUUUCUAUCUAUAUGAACGGAGGAUGAUGAAUCUAUUUCGUGGGUCCUGGCAACACCCUUAUGCUAUAUAUAGAUUCGUGGGUCCUGGCAACACCCUUAUGCUAUAUAUAGACCCUUUGUCCUAAUUUGAUCUUUAAGUCGAUUCGGAAUGAACAUAUAUUGUGGAUCGAAUGUUGCUAUCUUUACGAAAAUGUGUUAAGGUCCCUUAAAAGAAAAGGAAUAGCUGCUCAUUCAAUGAACGACGCCUAAAAUGAAUGUAUAUAUUUGAUUCCUUAGCUUGGCUCUCAUUUCAGGAACGGAGGCUGAACGGGCUGAGGCUUCCGGUGUCCAUAAGGCUAACGUAGAAUCCAAUAAUCUAAUCAUAUAUUAAUCGAUUUCAUAUAUAUCAUAUUACUUGCUAUAACUAGGAGUAUAUUCGAAGGUAAGUAACAAGGGCCAAGUAGUUAAGGCUAAAGCCAAUUUCAGAGAGGCGAGAACCCUUAAAGGUCUGUUUCAAUACUCAAGAUAGCUGGUUGUGAUUCCUUAGAAUAAGGGUAGCUAAUCACAAACAAGGUAAGAAAAAAGUGAGAAAGGCGAGCAAUAGGACGGAAACAAAAGAAAGAGGCGGCGAGCUACUCCAGAACGAGCGACCUGUAAGCUAAUAGACCGUUAGGAGGAAAACCGACCUGGUGAUAAAGAAUGGGAGCUAAGUAUUUAUUACGAACGGAUGAAAAAGGAGGUGCUGAAAGCCUGUGAAAAUCCAGAACCAAAAAAGAGUGGAGUCCCGUGCCGGAUAUUCGAUGGCUCUCUAUCGAACCUUCCUUUGUCACGAGUCAUUGACUGCUGUAACGUGCCUUGGCCAUCGAGCUACUCAAGGUAAGACUUCCAAAAAGAUGAUAAUAAGCAACAUGCUAAAUAGCAUUGUUUCUAUCGUUGGCAUGUAGUUUUGGAUAUAUAAGAUAAUGGGAAGAAAAGUGACCUACUUGAAGAUAAUGGGAAGAAAAGUGACCUACUUAUAGCCUUAUCCAUAUUACUUAGACUUUGAUGGCUGACGGUAAGCAGAGUUUUGAUUGACCAUACUAUCAUAAAGGCAAUUAGGUAAGCCUACGCCCACUCCAUCCCUAUUGUUGUGUUUUAUUCCAAUGGGAUUUGGGGCACGGAUUCAACAAGUACACCACAAAAGCAACGGCUUCGGCCCAAAAGUAGCAUGUUUAUACCUUUCAACAUACUAUGUGCCACAUGUUUAUACCUUUCAACAUACUAUGUGCCAUUUAAAGGAUUGUGCGUUUCUUUCUUUCGGCAAAACACCAGUUGAGGUUCAUAUGGUGCGGUCAAAGGACGACGAAUACCAUGCUUUUGACAAAUAGCUUCGAAGGCUUUUGUUGAUGUAAAUGCGCCUCCACCUAUUCCCUACAAAGCCGGUUCCAAUCAAACUGCAUACAGAACAAUGAUGGAAGAAAGAGAUAGGACUCGAAAGAGAGGAGAGGUAAGUAUACAGGAAGAGAUGUCCUUUUACCUCUAUUGGAUUUGCGCCUCGUUUGCUAUCAAUCUGUUCAGAUACAAAACCAAGUGGAAGCCCCAUUGCGAAAACUAUUGACGAGGCAGACGGAUAAAUGGCUCUUGCCCUAUUUUAGCUAGGACUUGCCUCAAAAUGUCUUGGCCAAAUAGUGGUCGGCUAGUGCGGGCCCAGGCAUACUUCCUGAGAUUGCUGCACGAACUCUUCACGAUCCUGCUGAAGAUGCUUACUCUUAUUCCAUAAUUACCAAGAAUUGAUAUAUAAGGAAAAGAGCUCGAUGACCUUAAUCACUCUGUUAGCGCAGAUCAAUCCUAUGAUGAAAUAAUGAGAAAUGUCUAUUCAAGGGCAAAAGCUUUUUCUCUUUAGACUACCGAUUCUAUUGAAUGAAACGGAGUCUGGGCCCGAUCAUGCUUAAACGAAUUCUUAAAGAGAAAGAG
rnacentral:lncRNA from 1 species